rnacentral:tRNA from 1 species
AAGAAAGUCAUAAUGGUUAUGGAGCUGGCUUGAAACUAGUUAUUGAAAGGUCGAUUCUUUCCUUUCUUG